rnacentral:lncRNA from 1 species
AUGCAAUUGAACCUUCCCAGUUUUAUAAAGAACCACCGCAAUAAUUCCUUGGGGAUGUUUAUACCAAAAGAAAACAAAAAACAAAAGAGCCAUUGGCUAUGUAAACAGUCCAAUUUUAAAUGGCUUGUGCUGUAUUUGUAUGGAACAGAGAACUCAUUUAAUUACUUUUUCAUGCAAUCUCUUUUUAUCCUUACCAGGAUCCCAUAAAUUCAUGGCUACUAUUUCCAUGUAAUGCAGAGAGGAAGCUGAAGCUUUGUGUACCAGGAAAUAGUUGCAACAUGCAGAGCCAUUGCGAUUUGUGCUCUGUCGUGAACACAUUCUGUGAUCCUCUGGCUGUCCGCUGCAGAUGCUCUCCUCCCAGGACCCUUGCAAUUCUACUUGCACCCAUGUUCAGCAGAGCUGACAAGGGAAGAAGGCAAACAGGGCAGGAGCUGGGAGAGCAGCAGCCACUGUGUCUUGUGGUGGCCCGAUGGGAUGGAAUCAUUCACGAGAUGCACAGCAUGAAACACACGUGUGUCCUCUUCACAUCCAUAACUGAACCCUGGGGCUCCCAGCUCAGUUCCCAUUUGGUGAUGCUAUUUUGGUUCAAGCUGGGGUCAGAGAGUGUGGAUCAGAACUUGGGUUUCCAGCUACCACUUGGAUAGUGUGCUCAAUCUGCUCAUUUGUUUGUUUUCACUUCAGCAAAAAUUUAUCAGACACUAGAAAUGAACAUCAUUCCAAGAUCAAGGUAAAGAGAUUUAUGGGUUAAAAAAACCCACUUAUGCAACAUUCAUUAUGCGAUAGGCACUGGUCUACCUUAUAUUAAAUAGUUUAAUCUCUACUCCAAAAACAAGAGGACUGGUAUGGUUCUCAUUUCACAUGUGAGAAAACUGCAACAUAGGUUAAGAAACCUGCCUAAAAGCACACGGUUAGUAAUUGUUAGAGCUAAAAUUUGAAACCAUGCUGCAUAGCUCUAAAAUGGAUGCUAUUGACCACUGCCUUAAUUAUUUUGUAAUACAAUAGGCCAGACUGACACAUAGCAAUGAUAGAUUAUGAUUGUUGCAGUACAGUACAAUGUACUGUAGAGAACCGGAGUUUGAACAAGGUGCAUCCCCUACCCAGGUCCCUGCACGUCUCUAAUCCUGGCAGCUGUUAUCUUUGAUGCUCUACACACUAUUCAAACCAGCCCCCUGUUGAAUCAGUCUCACAUCUGACUCAGAGACCGCGCCUAUCAUUUGUGGGUGAUUGGAAGGCUUGUGGCUUCCUAUCCCAGGAGUUCAGGGCACUUUAGGAUCAAGACAUCCUGUCUGCUGAUCCUACAUAAGUCUAUGCUCUCUAAAUGGUACCUUCUGCCUUAAUCUUCUGGCCAAAUCCCAUUUCCUAUUGUUGGUCUGUUAAAUUCAGCUUUUGCCUUGGUCAUACUAAAAAAUACACUGAUUUUGGGCCAGGGAUUUAGCUCAGUGGUUCUGCCACCUGCCUUGCAAGUGGUGGAUCCUGACCUCAAUUCCCGGUACAAACGAAAAAAGGUGAAAAAAAAAUACACUGAUUUUUAUUUACUUGGGCUGAGGAAGGGUGUCUGGUUGCAAAAUUUGAAUUGCCAUCUGAGAUUAAGUCUUAUUGUACCUUUGGGCUACUUCAAUAGGUGGUUCCUUUCCCCUUCGGUAUUUCAAAUGUGUCUUCCCAAUGUCAGGACAGGAUAAUGAUGGUGUUCCUUUAGGAUUCAAACAAACUCUGUCUCUUCUAUUGCUAGCCCUUUCUCCAGUUCUACAUUUGAGGUCUCAAGACUUGUCGACUGAUGUCAUCAACAGCCAACAUGGCCUGCCUCUCUGGGAACAUUCCUCACCAUGUUCCUCCUCAAAUCGCAUCGCAGGAUGGCCCUCUGUCCUCACAUUCCACACCUCCCAUGCUCCACUUAUCCCAGCUCUCAAGUCCCCUGUAACUGUUUCUGUAAAGUUAUCCAGCAACUUCUGCAACUACAACUAACUUGUCAGCAAAGUUCACGCUCCAACUGUUUAUUGAUAUCAACUUCUAGCCACUGCUCUUACUUUUUAAGAUAUUUUAUCUGAAGAAAACCAACCAUUUUUGACACUUGAAACGCUGGCAUUUGUCUUUUCUUUUUUUCUCCUGGAUCUGUAAAACAAAGUUUUUUGCCAUGUAAUCAAAGAGAACAAGAGGCAGAGGUUUGUUCUCAAAACACUGCAAUAAAUAUGCUUGCCCUUCAUGGAGUGUUUGAGAUUUACUAAGAUCCUACUAUAUGCUUUUUAUCAUUUUCUUAUUCAUCUUUAUAAAACUGUAUGAAAUCAGUAGUUACUAUCACCAUUUUACAAAUGAGGAAAGUGAAGAACAUAAUAUGUAAGUGAUUUAACUGGUCGUACAACUAGCAAGCUCUCAUCCAAGCUCAGGUCUGUCUCAUUCAGACAGCUGUGUACUACUCACAGUGUUCAGGCCACGCCAAUUCUUCUUCUGAGCCUUGGAGAUAAGCUGAAGUUUUAAGGCUGCUCAGUGCCCAGGACAAUGAACACCCAAAAAAAUCUCUCAUGGGAAGAACUCAAGAGAUCACAUUUCCCCAUGCUUUCAUUUUACACAAGUGAACUGAAGUGGACCGAGGGGGAAGAAUUGCAGAUGACUCAGUCACAGGACAUUGCCCCGAGUUGUUAUAAUCAUCUCGUUUAAUGAGUAGAAAAAUUUAAUGGCAACAAGCUUAAUGGUCAAUGUGCUUUACUGGAUUGUUGCACUCCACACAAAAGGAGGAAUGACUGAAAUGUGAAUUGCAAUACCACCUGCUCCCCAUGGCGAUGGAAGCCGUGCUUGCUGCUACACUCACUGCGUACAUCUUCCAGUUGAACGCUCUGCAGGAAAUCUCUUGGUUGGUCUCAAAGGCCUUAAUUCAUAUGACACUAUAGCUUUUUGCAAUCUCUGCUUAUGCCUUUGUUAUUAUCUGGCGCUCUGAAUAUUUUUUAACAGUGCUAAACUCACUGAGUUGCUCAGCUCGAUUCUAUAAAAGGAUUGUCUAUGAACAAAUUAGCAUUUCAUUAACUAUUUUAAAUAUAAUGCAAGCUUGUUGAACAAUGAUGAGGGGAUGUCUGGGGAUUGAUAAUGUAUUGAGUUGCGCUUCAAAUCCACAUUCUCCCAUGCUUAUGAGAAAAGUGCAAAGGGAAAUGUGGGCUGUGACAACUGAGACACUUUAUUUCUAUUACAGAAGAGGCGUCUCUCUAAAAUAAUGAGAACAAUUUGUUUGCACGGCAAUUCUCAGAGGAGAGUUUCAGAAAAAGUUGUAAAAUAGUCAGAAUAACUUUCCCCAAAGCCAGAUUUUUGAGUAAUAUCUUUUGAGGUCCCAUGAUAAUUUCCCCGUGAAAAGCUAGUGGUGGAGGUUACACAGUCAGGCCUGGACUUUCCUGACUGGCCAGCUGACUCUGCCUGGAGUGAAUGUCAGUUCAAAUGGCAAGGCCCAAGGAGAAUGUGAGAAGUCUACUGAUGUGAGAUGCUAAAUCCAGAGCCAAACUCCAGUCUGGCUAAUGGGCCAUGAAGCAGGAGUGCCCAGGCAAUGAUGUUCUCUACUCCGUAAGUACAGCAACAGCAAUGUGACCUAGAGGAGCAGCAGGUUUGAACAGAGUUCUCAGACUAACCGGAAGUGGAUAGGAGAAAUCUGAUCUAAUGACCCAAGAAGAGGAGACUGGGAAGACACAGGCAGAGAAUCUAGGCCUAGCCCAAAUGGCCAAUGUUGAUAAACACUACAGUAUCAGUGGAAAAUUGGCGUGUAAAUGUCUAUUUAUAUUGAUUAAGCAGGCAUAGCAGAAAGCAAGAAAAGACUGUGAAUUGGGUGAGAGAGCAGAGCCCACCGAGGCACAGUGAGUACAAAGUCUUAGAAGCAGAAACUAUACCAGACCUCUCCUGGUAGAUGUGUCAGGUCUCCAAGCAAAAAGGUGAAGAGGCUCCAGGCCCACCAUAAGCAGAGUUAAGAAGGAAGCAACUGGAAUUCAUGAUUUGAAGAUCUCUGCUCAUCUACACCGUAGUUGUAGCAUCAUAGAGCAGACUAUGGAUCAUCACUGGCAGAGAGAAAAUGGGGAUUCCACUCUUUGAUUUUUUUUUUUUUUUUUUUUUUUGGAGAACAAGCUGAGCUUUGGGUCUGAUCAGUGCUGCUCUGGGCAGCAAAGACAAAAACCCCUAGCUUGCAGCACCUUUUAUUCAGUACAAUGGGAGAAAUAAAUAUAACAAAUGAAAUGCAGAGUUCAGUACUUCACAUUGGGAUAAACAAGGUGUAACAAAGACUGUGGGGGGCGGUGGAAAUCUAAGAACGAUGAGGAACUAUGCAGACGAAGAUUUGGUUCCUCCCACGGUGUCUCCCCCAGGUGUGGUCUUGCCCUGGAGCAUCACAGCAUCAGGGGAUCACUGAGGUUUCAGUUGUGACAGGAGGCCAAAAUGCAAUUAUGUCUCAGAAUGCCAUAGCUGGCCUACAGGCGGAAGAACUAGGCCUAAUCAAAUGAUUUUUCCCUAGAAUUAUGUAGCAUUGCUCUCAACAUAGCUCCCUUUCUUUUUGUUUUAUAUGAAGGGGUUUUUAGGAAAAGUGAGCACACUCAACAAUGGCUUGUCCCUAUAUAUUGGGAGGAUCUACAGUGUGUUUGACUGGCUUAGCUGUCUAUACUAAGCAUGCUUUCUAUUAAUUGGGGCUGUAAAAGGAUGAAAAAUCAAAUAAUAAUAAUUUUUUUUUUAAAUAAUGUUGGCUAAAAAAGACUUAAAACUUUUGUUGAACUCAAAUAGCUAUUGUCUUUAGUUAUACUUUUCUACUGGGUGUUUAAGACCAAGUGACGGUGAGACCUAUAUUAAAUAAAGUCAAUCUCUUGCUAUCUAACAAGGUCAAUAAAGUCUCCACAGGCACUGUCUUUGAACCAUGCAUACAACCUCUUAGCUCCUCUGUCAAGAAAUUUUGAGACAGCGUCUCAUGGUCACUAAUUUGCCCAGGCGGGGUUUUUUUUUUUUUUUUUUNNNNNNNNNNNNNNNNNNNNNNNNNNNNNNNNNNNNNNNNNNNNNNNNNNNNNNNNNNNNNNNNNNNNNNNNNNNNNNNNNNNNNNNNNNNNNNNNNNNNUUUUUUUUUUUUUUUUCCUGGUACUGGGGAUCGAACUCGGGUCCUUGCGCUUGCGCUCCACUCUCUGAUUUGACUUGUGGGCCGGUUUCUUUUUCCUGACUGGUCAGGUUCUCUGAGAAACUCACCCCCAGCUAAGUGUAGACAGCAGCAAUCAGGUCAAUCUGUAACCCUGGUUAGCCAUCAUAUUUCUAAUAGGGACUUAAAAAAAUAUUGUUCCUAAUUCCAGAAUUCAGUCAUUUUUCCCAGUGUGAUAUAAAUUAGUGGCUUCGAGGCUCAGCUGAUAAACUGGGGGAAUAGACAUGUAAAAUGUUUGUUUCAAGGGCUUGUUGUGACUCAGUGGCACAUCUUUUGUUAAGAUGACUAUGAUUUAAAAAGAACUAUGAUUUUUUUAAAAAACUUCUCUUUAUUUUGAAGGACUUGAGUAUUUCUAGAGCAUUAUGCUGUUUCAUGAUUCUAACAAUUUAGGAUUAUAGAAUAUCCUUUAGUAUCCCCAUUUUCAUUAUAAAACAAAAACUUCAAACAAUGGAAGACAUUUAUCUAUAGUUAAGUCAGAAGAGUUU